UACGGGAGGCAGCAGUGGGGAUAUUGCACAAUGGAGGAACUCUGAUGCAGCAACGCCGCGUGGAGGAUGACACUUUUCGGAGCGUAAACUCCUUUUAUAUAGGAAGAUAAUGACGGUACUAUAUGAAUAAGCACCGGCUAACUCCGUGCCAGCAGCCGCGGUA
rnacentral:rRNA from 1 species